rnacentral:rRNA from 1 species
AUUGCACGCUGGCGGCAGGCCUAACACAUGCAAGUCGAGCGAGCGGCGGACGGGUGAGUCAUGUCUGGGAAACUGCCUGAUGGAGGGGGAUAACUACUUGAAACGGUAGCUAAUACCGCAUACCAUCAGAUGUGCCCAGAUGGGAUUAGCUAGUAGGUGGGGUAACGGCUCACCUAGGCGACGAUCCCUAGCUGGUCUGAGAGGAUGACCAGAAACACUGGAACUGAGAAACGGUCGAGAGUCAUACGGGAGGAAGCAGUGGGGAAAAUUGCACAAGGGGCGCAAGCCUGAUGCAGCCAUGCCGCGGGUGGGAAGAAGGCCUUCGGGUUGUAAAGCACUUUCAGCGGGGAGGCGUUACCCGCAGAAGAAGCACCGGCUAACUCCGUGCCAGCAGCCGCGGUAAUAC